UUACCAUGUAGGAUAAACAAUAAAAGUGACAAUUUAUGUUUGCAUCUGUAUAUAAUCUAAGAUAGUAUUUGUUGCGUUUAUGUACUCAAUAACGAGGCGAAAGAUACCUAGGGAACACUCAAACCUCAUACGUCGAAGAGAACAAGACAGAGCCAUGGCAAAAUAUGAAUGAAAAGGGAAUCAAGACCGGUAAACACCACUUAAAAAACUAAAGACUGACCAACACGAACCCAACCAAACACUGGUUGUGAUCAAAUUGCAAAAUAUCAAAUUCUAGUGCGAUAUAUUAACUCAACAACAGCUUGUGAUGUUUGUUUUUAUUUAAAUGUUGCUCUUAUUAUUAUUCAAUCAUUAGCCUAGGGCAAACAGUAAUUUAACGAUGUAUUCUGAUGUUGUUUUUUUUUUUUUUUUUAUUUAAAUGUUCCACUUUUA